AACUUUCAGCAACGGAUCUCUUGGCUCUCGCAUCGAUGAAGAACGCAGCGAAAUGCGAUAAGUAAUGUGAAUUGCAGAAUUCAGUGAAUCAUCGAAUCUUUGAACGCACCUUGCGCUCCUUGGUAUUCCGAGGAGCAUGCCUGUUUGAGUGUCAUUAAUAUAUAUAUCAACCUUCUCUUUUUGAGUG
rnacentral:rRNA from 1 species